rnacentral:rRNA from 1 species
GCGUUGUUCGGAAUCACUGGGCGUAAAGCGCACGUAGGCGGAUUUUUAAGUCAGGGGUGAAAUCCCGAGGCUCAACCUCGGAACUGCCUUUGAUACUGGAGAUCUUGAGUCCGGAAGAGGUAAGUGGAACUGCGAGUGUAGAGGUGAAAUUCGUAGAUAUUCGCAAGAACACCAGUGGCGAAGGCGGCUUACUGGUCCGGAACUGACGCUGAGGUGCGAAAGCGUG